UAGGGAAUCUUCCGCAAUGGACGAAAGUCUGACGGAGCAACGCCGCGUGAGUGAAGAAGGAUUUCGGUUCGUAAAACUCUGUUGUUAGGGAAGAAAAAAUGUAUAGUAACUAUAUACAAAAGAGACGGUACCUAACCAGAAAGCCACGGCUAACUACGUGCCAGCAGCCGCGGUAAUACGUAGGUGGCAAGCGUUUUCCGGAAUUAUUGGGCGUAAAGCGCGCGCAGGUGGUUUAGAAAGUCUGAUGUGAAAGCCCACGGCUCAACCGUGGAGGGUCAUUGGAAACUAAUAAACUUGAGUGCAGGAGAGAAAAGUGGAAUUCCUAGUGUAGCGGUGAAAUGCGUAGAGAUUAGGAGGAACACCGGUGGCGAAAGCGGCUUUUUGGCCUGCAACUGACACUGAGGCGCGAAAGCGUGGGGAGCAAACAGG
rnacentral:rRNA from 1 species